rnacentral:rRNA from 1 species
GGGAAUAUUGGACAAUGGGCGAAAGCCUGAUCCAGCCAUGCCGCGUGUGUGAAGAAGGUCUUCGGAUCGUAAAGCACUUUAAGUUGGGAGGAAGGGCAGUAAGCUAAUACCUUGCUGUUUUGACGUUACCGACAGAAUAAGCACCGGCUAACUCUGUGCCAG